rnacentral:lncRNA from 1 species
ACCAACGAACAAAUCAACAAUGAGGGGAAGAAGGAAACAGAAGAACCAACCAAGAACAACAACAGGGAGGCAUGGCGGAGGAGGGUUUGCGUGGCGAUGCCAAGGUAGGCGCAGUGGCUCCUUGAGUAGAUCUAAAACAUAGUGGGAGGGUGGAGAAGGAAGGUAAAGGAAAGGGAAGAGUAGGAGAGGAGAGCUUGCGGAGGAGCGUGGCGGCAACAACACAGAAAGAAGAAGUAGAGCAAGUUGCGAAAAGAAGCACAGAGAAAGACAGUGUGAUUUGGGGAAAAAAAUGAAAGAAAGUGAAAGCAAGGUGUGGUGCCG